GGAACUUUCUGCUGUUAAUCUAAUCUGGCCAUCCAAUAACCCAAAUGAUCUCUGUAUUAUUACAACUUUAAGAGAGAAGUAAUCUCUCAAUAUAGUAAAUUGCCAAUGGAAUGUCACAUUUAAUAAAUCAUACAGGACAUUAAUGUCAUGUUGUUGCCAUUUUGGCAAUAUUUGAAAACUUGAAACUUUUAAAACGACAAUGAUUUUGGCAACUAUGAGGAAUUGAAAGCUGCUAUGUAAUGUAGCCACAUAAUUGAAUGAAAUCUUAAAUAGCUGAUUGAAUGAAUAGGUGUCAAGUCAAACCUGCAGCAGCCAAGUGAGCUUACUAUUCGGAUAAGGUAUGCAAACACCUUCCCUUUGCUUUACAUAUGAGCCUGAAACGUGGUUCAAAAUACUUGAUCAAGAAAUAAUAUUUCAACAACAAAAAGCUAAUACAAUUUAAAAUAAAAUAUGAGAUGUCUGAAGAUUUAAACCAAUGAAUUUGAAAAUCACCAUCAGACGUCUCUCCAACGUUUGUUCCCUCUGAAUUUCUACAUCAGAAACGAAUUCUUACUGUACACAAUAGAGUAUAAUUAAAUCAUGUGGCUAGUGGCAUAAUGUGUAGCUUAUUUGCCCUGAGAUUUUGCCUCAAAUAAUUACAAUACUAAAUAAUAAUUCGAUCAAUUAAUAUAGCUUACUUCUCUCUACAUUUGAACAAAAGACAAUGUAAAAGAAGAAAACAAAACCAUCCAUCUUAUCCCACCUUCUUCAUUUCGAUUUUAUUUGAUUUCUGAAUUUCAAUUCACCCUGAGACCCCCCAACCCCAAACACCCUCUGAUCCUAAAAAAAAAACCUAAACCCCACUAAACUGCCAACACCAUCUCUUUUACUUGUCUCAAUUUAUACUUAAUUAUGUGUUCUUUUUCCCACAAAAUCCGCAAUAUAUGAAUGUUCUUUGCAUAAAUCAUAUGAGGUGGUGUACAUGUAUAUGCUUUAUGGUCGAUAUUCAAUCUCAGAAAUGGCCCUAAGAAUACCCAACUGGUAAUUCCAUUUAUAUAUAAGAUCAUCAAAAAUUAUCACAUACCAAUAAAAUCAAAUGGGUGGAAUUUAUAAAAUCACCACAAUACUAUCUAUCAGUUACACAUACUUGAUGAUGAAAUAAUUGAAAGAUAUAAAUCACCAUAUGCUGGAAAUGAUCAGGUUAGACAUCAUUCAGAUCCAAAAUUGGUAAAACAAAUUCAAUUAUUAACUCCUUGCCAAUUACAUAACUAUAGUGCGAGAGCGAAUAAGUUCUGAAAAACGAACGGUUCAACAUGAAAUGGGAAAAGAACACAAGCCAACACUACCGAUUUUGCAAAACAUUUCAUACCACUGAUUUAACGGGGGAGAAAACUUAACACAAUUUGUAACAAAAGUUGUCAAAAGUGCUUAAUUUAGUUUGAAUCAAGCUUAUAACCUUGUCACGGUCAUCUUUCAUCUUCAUUUCAUAGAAAUUAAUCAUUACUUCAUCACUUUAAUGACUAUAAAUUUAAUGAAGGAACAUUGUCAAUUUGAAAAAUAUUAUACAUUUUCGAAGUAUAUAUUAUCUAAAAAUAAUAUAUAUUAUCUAAAAACAGGGGAAAUACUACACAUAUUCACUAUCAAACAAUCAGAAAGUUGAGAAAAUGUUCACUAUUGUCAUCUAAAAACAGGGGCAAUAAUCGUGUAACAAAUAUCAUGAUAAUAGUAAUAUCAGAAAUAUCAUGCAAAAAAAAAAAAUGAAAAAGAUGUCCUAGAAACCGCAUCGUCAUCAUCGAUGCCCCAGAACUUUAAUAACAUCAUAUAAAACUACUAUUAAUGCAAACCCCAAUUAAAAAAAAAAAAAAAAAAAAAAAAGCGAAUUAAGAAACCUCAAAUCAUAAGCAAGAACUCCUUAAAUUAAAAUACAUACUGUGAUAAGCAAGAAAACCUCAAAUUCCGUCCAAACUCCUUCAAUUUUGUCGAUAUACUAUCACAUUUUUUGGAAGAAAGAAGACAACUGCGUGCCUGGAGACAAAAUUCUACGUCAUAACCAGACAAAUAAAAAGACAAAGAACCUGAAAAAAAACCCAAUAAAUUUGAAUUUUGAACAUAAAAUGCGACUAUCACUAACCUCUUGAGAAGCAUUUUGGAUGCAUCAAAACUACAGUUUCAAACAUUCCCACGCCCAAAAAUUGUUUAGUAAUUAUUCAGUUGCAGCUUUAAUAUUGUGGGCAUCAGUAAUUUUUGAAAGAUUCAUGUGUUCGUUCCUUUUUAGCAAACGAAAAACAAAAUUAUAUUUCGGGUUGGUUUACACAUGUGAAAUAAAAUUGGAAUUGGGAAGUUACGGAUCGUGAAAACAACUGAUGUACAAAAAAAAAAAAAAAACUUGUUGUGAGAGGUUACGAAUCGUGAGUUGCAGUUAAUUCAGGGGAUGCCAACGUUGAUUUUUUUUUUCUUCUAAAAGUAGUCCCAAGACUUUCAAACAAUUACGAAAAAGCAAACGAAAAAACAUCUUCACUUUUUGACGGGCCUUGUUCUUGAAUCAUAAAACCAUAAAAAAUGAAAAAAUAAAAAUAAACCAACAACACGUAAACUAAAUCCCUGCAUAUCAAAAUUUCUCAUGUAUUUCUUUUACUCGGCUAUGCUUCAGAAAAGAGAAAAUUAUCCGGUUUGUUUAGGCAAAUCAGGAAUAUAUGGAUGGGGGCUCUUUGCUAGGCAAAACAUUGAAGAAGUAGAUAUGCUAAUAAUUCACGUGUCCCAAUUAUUGUUGUUAAUAAUUUAAAAUAAAUGGGUCCAAUCUAAUUCCAACGUUUUUGCUUAAAUUUGGUCCUUUUGCAGAUUAUAGAAAAAUUUGGAGAAGAAAAAUUUCUUACUUGAAAUUUCAACCACCGUUGGCAGUGGCGUUCGCUGGCAGCAAAUGGUCCUUCACUCCGACUGUCGGAUGAUUUUUGUUGAACUUUUGACCGGCGGAUUUUAGAGCUUCAAUUUUCUGGAAAGUAAUAAUUGUUGAAAGAUUUGUGUGAGAAUUUGUGUUAUAUACAGAUGAGACAUGAAAUUUGAGAUGAGAAGAUCUAAAACAAAUGAAGAAAACUGAUUUCAAUCGGCGG
rnacentral:lncRNA from 1 species